AAUUUCAUUCAUAUCUCACGAAAAAGCAUACUCACGUCAGCAAGUCCCCUGCGUAUCACUGCACCCGAACAGAGCUGAGGUUUGCCCCAAGAAACAAAACGGACCUCUCAAUGGUAGACGAGCAGGCCAAAGCACUGCAUAUAGUAAGUCUACAAAGCAUUAACUGGAUUAAUUAGCAAGGGAUUUGAGAAGCAGCUUGGAGCUAGGAAACCAAAACACUAAAUUGUUUAAAUACUUUGGCAAAAGAUCAAGGUUUCUAGGCAGCACUGGGUCUCCUUCCAUCCUUUUCAUUCCAUGUUUUAACACAUUUAACCUGUCUGAGGUACUUUUUCAUGAGAUAUGAAUGACAUU